rnacentral:misc_RNA from 1 species
AGCAGAGGUUGGGGUUUUUGCUCUCGUUGCUAGUGAAGCUUGAUGAAAUUGACCAGUGAACAGGAGAGAGGUGGCAGCAACACUGAGGGUGGAGAGAGGCGACGACUGAGGCAAGAACAGAAGGGACGCGCGGUGGCGGCGGCAAUGCGAGCUGGAGAAGGGCAGCGAGGCGUUGAUAGCUGUUAAAAUGGAGGUGAGCCGGCGUUCCCACGUGAAGAGUAGGGAGAAGGGGUGAAGAAG